ACGCUGGCGGCGUGCCUAAUACAUGCAAGUCGAGCGGACCGACGGGAGCUUGCUCCCUUAGGUCAGCGGCGGACGGGUGAGUAACACGUGGGUAACCUGCCUGUAAGACUGGGAUAACUCCGGGAAACCGGGGCUAAUACCGGAUGCUUGAUUGAACCGCAUGGUUCAAUCAUAAAAGGUGGCUUUUAGCUACCACUURCAGAUGGACCCGCGGCGCAUUAGCUAGUUGGUGAGGUAACGGCUCACCAAGGCGACGAUGCGUAGCCGACCUGAGAGGGUGAUCGGCCACACUGGGACUGAGACACGGCCCAGACUCCUACGGGAGGCAGCAGUAGGGAAUCUUCCGCAAUGGACGAAAGUCUGACGGAGCAACGCCGCGUGAGUGAUGAAGGUUUUCGGAUCGUAAAACUCUGUUGUUAGGGAAGAACAAGUACCGUUCGAAUAGGGCGGCACCUUGACGGUACCUAACCAGAAAGCCACGGCUAACUACGUGCCAGCAGCCCGCGGUAAUACGUAGGUGGCAAGG
rnacentral:rRNA from 1 species